UGAGUUUGAUCAUGGCUCAGGAUGAACGCUAGCGACAGGCCUAACACAUGCAAGUCGAGGGGUAACAGGGAAGCUUGCUUCCGCUGACGACCGGCGCACGGGUNCCNUAACGCGUAUGAAACCUGCCUUAUACUGGGGGAUAGCCCGAAGAAAUUCGGAUUAAUACCCCAUAAUAUUGUUGAUUGGCAUCAAUUAAUAAUUAAAACUCCGGUGGUAUAAGAUGGUCAUGCGUGACAUUAGCUAGUUGGUAAGGUAACGGCUUACCAAAGCGACGAUGUCUAGGGGUUCUGAGAGGAAGGUCCCCCACACUGGUACUGAGACACGGACCAGACUCCUACGGGAGGCAGCAGUGAGGAAUAUUGGUCAAUGGACGCAAGUCUGAACCAGCCAUGUCGCGUGCAGGAAGACUGCCCUAUGGGUUGUAAACUGCUUUUAUAUGGGAAGAAAUAUAGUUACGUGUAAUUAUUUGCCGGUACCAUAUGAAUAAGCAUCGGCUAACUCCGUGCCAGCAGCCGCGGUAAUACGGAGGAUGCGAGCGUUAUCCGGAUUCAUUGGGUUUAAAGGGUGCGUANNCGGAAUAUUAAGUCAGGGGUGAAAGUUUGUGGCUCAACCAUAAAAUUGCCUUUGAUACUGGUAUUCUUGAGUAC
rnacentral:rRNA from 1 species